rnacentral:rRNA from 1 species
UACGGAGGGUGCAAGCGUUAUCCGGAUUCACUGGGUUUAAAGGGUGCGUAGGUGGGCUUGUAAGUCAGUGGUGAAAUCUCCGUGCUUAACAUGGAAACUGCCAUUGAUACUAUGGGUCUUGAAUUAUCUGGAGGUUAGCGGAAUAUGUCAUGUAGCGGUGAAAUGCUUAGAUAUGACAUAGAACACCAAUUGCGAAGGCAGCUGGCUACAGGUACAUUGACACUGAGGCACGAAAGCGUGGGGAUCAAACAGG